CCUACGGGUGGCUGCAGUGGGGAAUAUUGGACAAUGGGCGAAAGCCUGAUCCAGCCAUGCCGCGUGUGUGAAGAAGGCCUUCGGGUUGUAAAGCACUUUCAGUGGGGAAGAAAGCCUUGGGGCUAAUACCCUCGAGGAAGGACAUCACCCACAGAAGAAGCACCGGCUAACUCCGUGCCAGCAGCCGCGGUAAUACGGAGGGUGCGAGCGUUAAUCGGAAUUACUGGGCGUAAAGCGCGCGUAGGCGGUCUGAUAAGCCGGUUGUGAAAGCCCCGGGCUCAACCUGGGAACGGCAUCCGGAACUGUCAGGCUAGAGUGCAGGAGAGGAGGGUAGAAUUCCCGGUGUAGCGGUGAAAUGCGUAGAGAUCGGGAGGAAUACCAUUGGCGAAGGCGGCCUUCUGGACUGACACUGACGCUGAGGUGCGAAAGCGUGGGUAGCAAACAGGAUUAGUACCCUAGUAGUC
rnacentral:rRNA from 1 species